AGCAUCCAAAAAUUACGACGAAAUUCAUUAACUGAAAAGAAGUACAACAUUUGGCUCAUCAUAACACCACGAUAAUGUUAAAACACUACAUGUGAAAAACAAAAAUUCCAAUCUAAAAUCUUGAAGAAUCUCUGAACAAACAUUCGACUUUGUCAUUAUACUUAAUCGAAAAGACUGAAGCCCAUAUCAUCGUCUGAUUCUUCUUUCUCUUCAACCUUCUCCUCUUUCUUUGACUCAGCUGCAGCAGGGGCCGCAGCACCACCACCACCACCUCCGGCAGCAGCAACUGCCACAGCAGCACCUCCACCAGAAGGAACAGAUGCUAGCUUUUCUCUACCGGAUGCAAUGAGCUCUGUAACGUCCUUACCCUCAACAUUAGAAAGCAGAAGCUCGAUUCUGUCCUCAUCAAUUUCAGCUCCAACAGAUCCGAGAAUAUCCUUCAAAUCUUUAGCAGAAGGGCUGGAGUUGCCUCCCAAAACGGCGAGCAAAUAAGCAGCAACGAUCUUCAUCGUUCUUUGCAGACAGCAAAUCGGUAACGGAAGACAGAG
rnacentral:misc_RNA from 1 species